GAUGAACGCUGGCGGCGUGCUUAACACAUGCAAGUCGAACGAUGAACCGGGUGCUUGCACUCGGGGAUUAGUGGCGAACGGGUGAGUAACACGUGAGCAACCUGCCCCUGACUCUGGGAUAAGCGCUGGAAACGGCGUCUAAUACUGGAUAUGUCCCGUCACCGCAUGGUGUGCGGGUGGAAAGAUUUUUCGGUUGGGGAUGGGCUCGCGGCCUAUCAGCUUGUUGGUGAGGUAAUGGCUCACCAAGGCGUCGACGGGCAGCCGGCCUGAGAGGGUGACCGGCCACGCUGGGACUGAGACACGGCCCAGACUCCUACGGGAGGCAGCAGUGGGGAAUAUUGCACAAUGGGCGGAAGCCUGAUGCAGCAACGCCGCGUGAGGGAUGACGGCCUUCGGGUUGUAAACCUCUUUUAGCAGGGAAGAAGCGAGAGUGACGGUACCUGCAGAAAAAGCACCGGCUAACUACGUGCCAGCCGCCGCCGUAA
rnacentral:rRNA from 1 species